CAUCAGAGCUCCGCAGUUAAGCGCGCUCGGGCUAGAGUAGUACCGGGAUGGGUGACCUCUCGGGAAGUCCUAGUGUUGCACCGU
rnacentral:rRNA from 1 species